rnacentral:rRNA from 1 species
UACGACUACAUAUCAGGCAUAUCAAUAAGCGGAGGAAAAGAAACUAACAAGGAUUCCCCUAGUAACGGCGAGUGAAGCGGGAAGAGCUCAAAUUUGAAAUCUUCAAGGUUCUACCUUGACGAAUUGUAGUUUAAAGAAGUGUUUUCUGUUAGAUGAGUAGCAAAAGUUCCUUGGAAUGGGACAUCAUAGAGGGUGAGAAUCCCGUAUUUGGUUAUUCAUUCUAGCUUUGUGAUACACUUUCAAAGAGUCGGAUUGUUUGGGAAUGCAGUCCAAAAUGGGUGGUAAAUUUCAUCUAAAGCUAAAUAUUGGCGAGAGACCGAUAGCGAACAAGUACCGUGAGGGAAAGAUGAAAAGAACUUUGAAAAGAGAGUUAAACAGUACGUGAAAUUGUCAAAAGGGAAGCGUUUGACACCAGUGUUGUUUAGUUGAAAAUCAAUUCAAUAGUUUUUGAUUCUAAGUAGUAUUGACUUCAUCAGCUUGCUGCUUUCUUCUCAGAAAUUAUUGAAUGCACUUUUCAGUUAACAAGUCAACAUCAAUUUCUUUUGUUGUAAAAGGGUAAGAGGAAGGUGGCUUGCGCUUCGGCUCAAGUGUUUAUAGCCUUUUAUCUCUGCAAUCGGAGAGAUUGAGGUCUGCAGCGUAGAUCCUUCGGGGUUAGAUACAUUGGUGCUAAGCUAUAGCCUUGUAUAGACAACUUGUUGACUAUGCUCAGUCAUGUAGCUUACUCGCUGAUGCUAUUUUACCUACGCUUAGGAUGUUGAGUAGCGACAUACGCAC